CCUACGGGUGGCAGCAGUGGGGAAUAUUGGACAAUGGGCGAAAGCCUGAUCCAGCCAUGCCGCGUGUGUGAAGAAGGCCUUCGGGUUGUAAAGCACUUUCAGUGGGGAAGAAAGCCUUGGGGCUAAUACCCUCGAGGAAGGACAUCACCCACAGAAGAAGCACCGGCUAACUCCGUGCCAGCAGCCGCGGUAAUACGGAGGUGCGAGCGUUAAUCGGAAUUACUGGGCGUAAAGCGCGCGUAGGCGGUCUGAUAAGCCGGUUGUGAAAGCCCCGGGCUCAACCUGGGAACGGCAUCCGGAACUGUCAGGCUAGAGUGCAGGAGAGGAAGGUAGAAUUCCCGGUGUAGCGGUGAAAUGCGUAGAGAUCGGGAGGAAUACCAGUGGCGAAGGCGGCCUUCUGGACUGACACUGACGCUGAGGUGCGAAAGCGUGGGUAGCAAACAGGAUUAGAUACCCGGGUAGUC
rnacentral:rRNA from 1 species